AAGCAACACUCUGUGGCAGAUGAUGGAAGUUGUCUAAACACAAUUUGAGCUUGCUAUAGCAAUAAAGUCGAACCUAUUCCAGUGUUCUCCUCCAUGAGACCAACUGUUAUAUAGACUUAAACAGU
ensembl:snoRNA